rnacentral:rRNA from 1 species
UACGGGAGGCAGCAGCAGGGGAAUCUUAGACAAUGGGCGCAAGCCUGAUCUAGCCAUGCCGCGUGAGUGAUGAAGGCCCUAGGGUCGUAAAGCUCUUUCGCCAGAGAUGAUAAUGACAGUAUCUGGUAAAGAAACCCCGGCUAACUCCGUGCCAGCAGCCGCGGUAAU